rnacentral:rRNA from 1 species
GACGAACGCUGGCGGCGUGCUUAACACAUGCAAGUCGAACGGAAAGGCCCUGCUUUUGUGGGGUGCUCGAGUGGCGAACGGGUGAGUAACACGUGAGUAACCUGCCCUUGACUUUGGGAUAACUUCAGGAAACUGGGGCUAAUACCGGAUAGGAGCUCCUGCUGCAUGGUGGGGGUUGGAAAGUUUCGGCGGUUGGGGAUGGACUCGCGGCUUAUCAGCUUGUUGGUGGGGUAGUGGCUUACCAAGGCUUUGACGGGUAGCCGGCCUGAGAGGGUGACCGGCCCCAUGGGGGCGGGGAUACGGCCCAGACCCCUACGGGGGGCAGGGGGGGGGAAUUUUGCACAAUGGGCGGAAGCCUGAUGCAGCAACGCCGGGUGGGGGAUGACGGCCUUCGGGUUGUAAACCGCUUUCGCCUGUGACGAAGCGGGAGUGACGGUAAUGGGUAAAGAAGCACCGGCUAACUACGG